UACUGCCGUGAAUACGUUCCCGGGCCUUGUACACACCGCCCGUCACACCAUGAGAGUUGGGGAUACCCAAAGCCCGUGAGCCAACUUUUAGAGGCAGCGGUCUAAGGUAGAAUCAAUGAUUGGGGUGAAGUCGUAACAAGGUACC
rnacentral:rRNA from 1 species